CUAGUUGGCUGAUACUCGAUGGUUUUAGUGCUGAUAUAAUAUGGUACAAACAAUCUAUAUUUUAACAUAUCAUGCAUAUUGUUAAAUUGUUAAUCAAACUUGCACAUUUAGAUGUAUUUUGCCCACUUAAUAGUCAUGAUUAAUAGUUUGAUAGCAUAACACUAUCCUAUUUGCAUGAAUAGGGAAAAUUUAUGUUAUACAUAGAGCAUUAAGAUCCGAAGACACUUUUUUGACACACUUUUUGUGGGACCCACUUUUUAAUGUACUUUAACGAUUUAACUGUCUAUCUUUUAUGUCUUAUCUCUAAUAUCAUGUCUAUAAAAAUAAAUUACCCAAAUUCAAAACCAUAUGACCGUUGGAUUAACUUUAGUGAUUCUUUGUAGAACUGUAUUCAUCCAUUUUCUUCUUUACAAAUAGAUGUCUUAAUGAUUUUGGAUUUAUCUAACUUUUUGCAAAGUUGAUCUAUGAAUGAUGUACUAAGAUAUAGAUGAUUCAGAUUAUUAAAAUACAUUAAGAAGUGCACCCUACAAAAUAAAAUAUGUAUUAAAUGCGUGUGCCCAUGAUCCUAAACCCUGUAUUCAUCCACACCUCCAGUUGGAUUAAUUCUUCGUAUUGUUAUAUAUAGUAUGGCAACAUAUAUACCAUAUCAAGUACAAUAAUAUUUUCACACAUACACAUACAUUUUCAAUUGAGGCCAUUGAGUAUAUGGAAACCCUGGCUAGAUAACUAUAUUUUAUCAACAGUGAUAAUAAAUAAGAAAAUGCUAGAGAUAUCAUAUUUUUGUGUAGUACAUUGUGAUUGUAGAGCUCUAAUAGAAGUUAUCCUACUUGUAUUAUUGGUAAACCUGACAAUUUCUUACACGACCUGUUAACACAACAUGAAAAUAAUGAGUUUCAAGUCAACACGAUAACUAAUUGGGUUGUUAUCGAGUCACCGAUUAGGAACUCAUUAAUAACGGGUCCUUAACGAGUUUAAGAAAAAAUUAUUUUGAUAAUUUAAAGUUAAACUAUUAAAAAGCUUACUUUAAAAUACAAAAGCCAUAUUGUAUAUUAAAUAUGUAUUAUGGUAUUGGAACUGCGAAUUUAGUCCCUGUAAUAUUUUUUUUAGAAAAAUUAGUCUCUGAAUUAUAAAAACCUGCCAAUUACAUCAUUAAUAUUAUAUUCGAAGCUACUAUAUUCAAUUUUUCCUCAAUUUAAGUCAUGUUACUUGCAUGUGAUACACAUUGAAGGGUAAAUUGAUAAUUUUUUAUAAAGAAAUAUUAUAUAGAGUUAAUUUUGGAGGGUAAAUUAGAUGUUAGAUUUGCAACCUAUAUGAAAUGUUAAGGGCUUAUACGCCAAAAAAUGACAGUAUUACAGUCUAAUGUGUGUCAAGUAACUUAAGUUAACGAAAAAUUGAAUAAAAUAACUUUGAAUAUAAUAGUAGGGAUGAAAUUAACAAUUUUUAUUGAAUUUAGGGACUUAUUUUACCAAAAAAAUGAUUCAGGUGAAGGAAAUUUUUUUGUCCUAGCUAAGAACAAGUAUGAACAUUUGAAUACAUAGGCAAGCUAUUAACACUUUAAAGUAGACAUGCAUUCAAAAACAAUUCAUAAAACCCAUGACUUUCAAAGCCUAGUAUAUGGUGAACCAAUAAACUCUUUAACAACAGUAAAGAUAAGUAAAGAUUUAGAGUUUCUUUACCCUUGAAGCUCAUCCUUGUUUACACAAGGGAUUCACCCAAGUGGAGGGCCUUCAAGUCACCUCCAAGCUCCUUGAAUCCUCCUGGUGUUUUCCUCCCUUUAGUGCUCCUUUGAAGAUUUGAGGAAAUGAGGAUAAGUUCUCCAAAACACCAAAAGUUUGAUGUCUCUAAGUCUCUUCACCAAGGAUGUAUCUUGUGAAGAUGAUAUGGAUGACUUAGGGAAGAAGAGAUUACUAGAUGUCCCUUCCCUUAGUGGCCGGCCUCUUGGAAGAAAAUGGAGAGAAAAUGUUUCACCCAAUUUCAACUAGAAAACCCCAAAUGAAAAUAAAGCUAUAAAGUUGAAUUUAUACUUCAUUACAAGUGAGUGGCAAACUUGUAAUUAAUCCAAGUUUGCCCAUCCACCCUAAUGGCCGGCCUCUUUGAUGUUAUUGGGCUAUUUGCCCAUUUUGUUUUAGUUGUCAUACAACUUAAACAUAAUGGGCCUUUUGGACCAAAACGCUUUUGGGCCCCGAAACCCAAAACCAACAUAUAAGCCCAACACGAACCUUUCGUAAAAUUAAUUAACUAAUUAAUUAAUCUUGACCAUUCUUCAAUUAAACCAUUUAAUUGCUUAUCCAUUUCAUUUGAUUUCUUCACAUACAUCCUUACUCGGUGUACGAUCCAUUAGGUUCCAAUUAACGAGGCAGUGGGCGAUUGUUACUCUUAACGAUCGAUUGUGAAUUGAAACCACAUUUCAAUUCUCCCUUUAUUGAUUAGUGUUUGCUAACCAUUAGGGCUUCCACAAACCAUGAGUGACGCCUAGCAGAAUAUCAUGGUUACCCAAGCUAAGUAGAAUUGGUUGGAGAACCUAUCCAGUUACAACUACAAUGCAAUACGGUCAUUCUCUAAUACAAUACUCUUAAUCACAUUGUUUAAGUGAUAGUUUGUUUCAUGUCUACUAUCCAAUGUGAUACUUUCCUAUAUGAUUCCCUUGAAUAUGAUUUGGAACAAACUUCCUAAGUCAUAUUCAUUUGCUUUGGCCAAAGACUUUAGAAUCAUAUCUUAGAGAGUAUUCUCCUUCCACCAUGGAAGGUUAGAGAUCCCUUGUUUGUGCAUUCAUAUGUCUACAUGACUAGAUAGCUUGACCCCAACAAUGCCGUGGACACUCCGAUGGAAUGCCGUUUGACAUGAUCAAAGAUCAAGGAUCUAACCAUUAGACAUCUAUGAUGCCUCAGGUCAAAGGACUACUUUGCAUAUUGCAACUUUAGAGUUCAUACAUGACAUGUAUGUUCGAACUCUCUUUUGAUCGUAGUUCAGUGUACUCGAUUACUCUUUCGAGCACCAAUGUGUUUGUCUUAGUGUCCAACACCAAAUGACUUGAGACUAGUCAUACUCACGCUUGAGUCAACAUAACACAUACUAACCUCAGCGGAUUGUCAAUGCCCAAUUGGCAAUCUUAUGGCUAGGAACGUUUUAGGAAUGAACAUAAGAGAAUGGUCUCAAUAAUGUAACUCACUUAGAUCACUUGUCUCUUAGAUCAAAUACAUCCCUUGGAUUCCCUUAUUGCUUAAACACAUGAUACAAUAAAUAGUGAUUAACAAUAAGCUUUGCCCUUCAUUAAACAUAUAAAAGUUUAAUACAUUAAGUAUUCCAAAAAGCUAUUACAUCAAAUGAGUGGCUUUGUGGGCAUACUUCCAACAUCAGGGACCUAAUUUUCAUUGAGAUGAUAAUUCAAGGACUAAAUCGGCACUAUUAAUUUUUUUUUAAGUUUUAUUUUUAUAUUUAUUUUUAUUAUGAGCGUGUUUUAAUAUUAUUACUGGGGUAAUUUUACUUGAUCUGUUAAUCAAAAUUCAAAUCAACUAGAUAAUAUCAGUACAGGCAAAAAGAUAGACUUUCAAUUUUAGAGUCAAUGACCUAACAAAGUUCUCUCAUACAGUCACUCAUAAAUGUUUUAUCCUCUUAAAAGUGAGAUUAAAACAUUAUAAAACACAUUAAAAAUAUAUAUAAUCACUUAUAAUGAUAAGUUUUACAACUUUCGUGAAGGGAACAACUUUGAAAUUCGACACCAAAAUCCAUAAACUUUAGGUUUAUAUUUAACCAUCGAUUAUCGAUUACGUUUUUUUCUCUCACCGAGUUUCGUUUUUCAGAUUUUGUUUUUUGAAGACAGAUCUUUUAACAGAUAUAGACUAUUUAGAUCGUUGAUAUUAUGUUUCGAUAUUUAUGGUUAACUAAAAUAUGAGUUGAUGUUUUAUAGUUACUAGAGACAUUAUAAACUCCGAGCAAUAUUUUUACUAACGAUAAAACUCUGAACGUAAUAUCAA
rnacentral:lncRNA from 1 species